AGAACGAACGCUGGCGGCAUGCCUAAUACAUGCAAGUCGAACGAACUCUUCGGAGUUAGUGGCGCACGGGUGCGUAACGCGUGGGAAUCUGCCCCUUGGUUCGGAAUAACAGUUGGAAACGACUGCUAAUACCGGAUGAUGACGAAAGUCCAAAGAUUUAUCGCCAAGGGAUGAGCCCGCGUAGGAUUAGCUAGUUGGUGAGGUAAAGGCUCACCAAGGCAACGAUCCUUAGCUGGUCUGAGAGGAUGAUCAGCCACACUGGGACUGAGACACGGCCCAGACUCCUACGGGAGGCAGCAGUAGGGAAUAUGGACAAUGGGCAAAGCCUGAUCCAGCAAUGCCGCGUGAGUGAUGAAGCCUUAGGUUGUAAAGCUUCUUUACCCGAGAUGAUAAUGACAGUAUCGGAGAAUAAGCCCCGGAUAACUCCGUGCCAGCCAGCCGAC
rnacentral:rRNA from 1 species